rnacentral:rRNA from 2 species
CAUGCAAGUCGAACGAACUCUGGUAUUGAUUGGUGCUUGCAUCAUGAUUUACAUUUGAGUGAGUGGCGAACUGGUGAGUAACACGUGGGAAACCUGCCCAGAAGCGGGGGAUAACACCUGGAAACAGAUGCUAAUACCGCAUAACAACUUGGACCGCAUGGUCCGAGUUUGAAAGAUGGCUUCGGCUAUCACUUUUGGAUGGUCCCGCGGCGUAUUAGCUAGAUGGUGGGGUAACGGCUCACCAUGGCAAUGAUACGUAGCCGACCUGAGAGGGUAAUCGGCCACAUUGGGACUGAGACACGGCCCAAACUCCUACGGGAGGCAGCAGUAGGGAAUCUUCCACAAUGGACGAAAGUCUGAUGGAGCAACGCCGCGUGAGUGAAGAAGGGUUUCGGCUCGUAAAACUCUGUUGUUAAAGAAGAACAUAUCUGAGAGUAACUGUUCAGGUAUUGACGGUAUUUAACCAGAAAGCCACGGCUAACUACGUGCCAGCAGCCGCGGUAAUACGUAGGUGGCAAGCGUUGUCCGGAUUUAUUGGGCGUAAAGCGAGCGCAGGCGGUUUUUUAAGUCUGAUGUGAAAGCCUUCGGCUCAACCGAAGAAGUGCAUCGGAAACUGGGAAACUUGAGUGCAGAAGAGGACAGUGGAACUCCAUGUGUAGCGGUGAAAUGCGUAGAUAUAUGGAAGAACACCAGUGGCGAAGGCGGCUGUCUGGUCUGUAACUGACGCUGAGGCUCGAAAGUAUGGGUAGCAAACAGGAUUAGAUACCCUGGUAGUCCAUACCGUAAACGAUGAAUGCUAAGUGUUGGAGGGUUUCCGCCCUUCAGUGCUGCAGCUAACGCAUUAAGCAUUCCGCCUGGGGAGUACGGCCGCCAGGCUG